UAAGCUUAAAACACAAGUCUAUGCUUAAACGACAUUAUUUCAAGCAAAAACCUGAAAUCAAAACCAAAACCACGAAGAAGGCUUACGAACCCAGACCCCACGAACCCAAACCCCUCAGCUCGUGUGAACCCAGGCACAGACCAUCAGCUCGCCUCAUAACCCAGACUUUAGCUCCAUUGUCGAAGGCUCCAGGCGACGGCGACGGUGAUAGUCUCAACCUAAACAAAUGUUGCUAGAAGCAGUGAAGUUAGUAGAUAUGGAAAAGGAGCUGGAGCUGGAAAAUUAACUCAAACUGGUGUUGGAAAAGGAAGAGCCAGAAAUGGAGCUGGAAAAGGUUGAGGGGCAAUAGCAGUGUUAGUUUGUAGGACCUUUUAUGUGUUAGGAUAUUUGAUUAUUAGAACCUUUAGUGGUUUCUGUUUUGUAAAGCUGUCCAUAAGCUUAUUUGAUGGUGUUAAUGGACAAAAGUAACCUAUUUUUUGUUGGUCUUAGGUAAGACCUUUGGUUUGACAAACAUUAUUAGUCACUGUUUUGUAAAGCUUUCCUUAAGCUUAUAUAAUGGCAAUACUAAACAUAAGUAUCCUAUUUUGUGUUGGUGAGUAGUUUACAAAACCUUUAUGUGAACAAUUGAAUAUUAAGGCAACUCUACUAAAUUUAUUUAUCGUA